AGGAAGAAAGGAAGAGAGUAAAUGGAGGAGGGGAGGGAAACAGAAAGGUUGGAAAAUACAGGUGAGAAAGAAGAGUUAAGGAAAGGGGACAGGCUGGACGGUGUCCCCUGAGCCUAUCCCCUUCCUUCCCAGGAGUUCAGAGGUGCGACCAGACUCCCAGUACUUGUCCCAGAGAAGCCCCCAGGAUGUUCUCCAUGCCCAGUACUCUGCUCCCAGCCAGGCAGGCAGGACCCUGGCCAAGGUGUGCUGGGUUCUAGCAGCUCACCUGGCUCCGGUGACACGCUGGCAGCUGUCAGGUCAAGAUCUGUUGAAGCAGAGACCCUGGAGGAGAUCGUGGAGCCCUGUCUACUGUCCUGGAGCUCUGCUGAUUUUGCAGACUGGAACUGGAAAAAAUAUGGAAUAGGCUCAUCUUGGAGUUUUCUCACUGACUCCUGGAAGUAGCUGUUCUCCAAGAGGCUUCUAGGAAGAGGAAAAUAAAGGAUGAGUUACAGCAUAUCAGC